UAUGUCUUACAUAUGGUGAUAGUCGAUUGUUUGGAGUCGGCUUUCUGCUGCAGAAAACCACCGGUUUGUGAAUUUUCAUACAUGUUUUUAUAGCAGCGUUUUUGCAAAUAUAACAGAGACCACCUUACAUACAAUACAUAAACUACAUUUUUAUUUGUAGGACUUCACAGACGAGCAACUUCUGCGGAAGGUGUGUGUUGAAGAGCUAGGCGGCACAACUAUUGUGGUUUUUAGAAACGAAAGCACGUAUGCGCGUAUUUCUACCAUUGUCUCAUGUGGUGCUACGAACAAUUUCAUAGGAGACAUGGAGCGUGUUGUGUAUGAUGGUGCAAAUACCUGUUUAACAUGUGACGGUUAUUAUGUGCCUAGUACUGCUACCUCUGAAAUGAAUUUGACUUCCGAACUGGCUGUCCACGUCGAUACCUUACCCCGUCUAGAACAAUAUGCUGUACGUAGAUAUAUGCGCAACACCUACACGAGCAAGUCCUCGCGCUUUAAGUCUACAAUUACAGAUAAGUUGUAAUGAUAUAUUUGUGAGUUAUUUUUAAGUUUUUGGUUUACAGGUUUUUGAUUUCUGCCUGAAGUAAGUGCAGCGUUCCAACACCUAUACGAGCAAGUGCACCCACAUUCCUCAUAUUUCCACUCUGAUUCAUUACUGAGACACGUGGUAUUGAUAUACGUAAAUUUAAAAACCAUCACAAUUACUAAAAGUGGAUUAUAUUACCAAUAUCUUAAAUUUUUCGAUGUAUUAGUUUUAGUUUAUAUUAAUACAUUUUCCUGUUAAUAUUAGGGACGCAAAGUAUAUUAAGGUAGACAAAUUUUAAACUAUAAACUAGUAAAUUUGUAAUUUUUAUUGCAAACUAUUUUAACUCUUCUAAUUUCAAUUUUUUUCUUAUAUUUAGAAAUGAUCGACUGAACUUCUGCUUUCGCAAUGUCUUUACGGUAACAUACUACAUAUAUCUACAUGUAUUGUUAUGUACGAAAUAAGAAAAAAAAAUUAAACUUUCUGUUUCAUCUCAUUCCUGUCGAUUAAGUAAAGCGUUUUUCAAUAGGUGCGCUUCAACUUUUUUCUGAUAGGGAGGGCGAACGACGCAAUAUUUUUUAUUUUUCGCUUGUCAUUUGUAAACUUCAUUAGUAUACAUUAAAUGUAUAUGUUCAAACUCGAUAAUAAAAAAAAAUUAGUUAAAAAAGUCAAACCGUUUGUGUUUUAUUAAAAAAAAAAGUUGAAGCGCUCUUACUGAAAAACGCUUUAUAUUUUGACCUUUGGUGUAUUAAAAGACUUGUACUAUUGUAGUAAAUUAAACACAUUAAAUUCCUUUAUUAUGACUAUUUUUUGUUCUCUUCCACAAAAUAUACUCAAAUCUAUUGCAAGAUUAUAUAUAUAUAUAUAUAUAUAUAUAUAUAUAUAUAUAAUUGGCGCGUACACGAGCUCUUCCUCCUAUUUGUGGUGUGC